rnacentral:rRNA from 1 species
UGAGGAAUAUUGGUCAAUGGGCGCAAGCCUGAACCAGCCAUCCCGCGUGAAGGAAGAAUGCGCUACGCGUUGUAAACUUCUUUUCCAGGGGGAGAAUAAUCCUGUCGUGACAGGACUUGACGGUACUCUGGGAAUAAGCAUCGGCUAACUCCGUGCCAGCAGCCGCGGUAAUACGGAGGAUGCGAGCGUUAUCCGGAUUUAUUGGGUUUAAAGGGUGCGUAGGCGGAUUGAUAAGUCAGUGGUGAAAUUCUACAGCUUAACUGUAGACUUGCCGUUGAUACUGUUAGUCUUGAGUGUGGUCAAGGCAGGCGGAAUGUGUAAUGUAGCGGUGAAAUGCUUAGAUAUUACACAGAACACCGAUUGCGAAGGCAGCUUGCUGGGUCAUUACUGACGCUGAUGC